UCAAAAGAAUAAUUCUGUAAGCAGGGCAGUAACUGCUUGGAAAUUAGUUCUUGCUGGGCGCUUUCCACUGCUUCAUCAAUGGUGUGACUUUGUUAAGGAUAAUUCUGAAGAUGUGAGUGAAGAUUGAGAUGUUUAUCAUGAUGGUUUAUUGGCAAAGAUGGAGCUAGUGUUAGAAAUUGAAAGAUGUAUGGUUGAUGAUGAUGUCUUUUAUUAGAAGAUAUAUUAGUAGUAAACUCUAAUUGGUCUCAUGCAUAAUUUGAUGAGUAUACUUAUUCUAGUG